rnacentral:rRNA from 1 species
UACAGAGGUCUCAAGCGUUGUUCGGAUUCAUUGGGCGUAAAGGGUGCGUAGGUGGCGCUGUAAGUCGGGUGUGAAAUUUCGGAGCUUAACUCCGAAACUGCAUUCGAUACUGCGGUGCUUGAGGACUGGAGAGGAGACUGGAAUUCAUGGUGUAGCAGUGAAAUGCGUAGAGAUCAUGAGGAAGACCAGUGGCGAAGGCGGGUCUCUGGGCCGGUACCGACGCUGAGGAGCGAAAGCUAGGGGAGCGAACAGG